AACGAACGCUGGCGGCGUGCCUAACACAUGCAAGUCGAGCGGGAAAGUUCCCUUCGGGGAGCGAGUACAGCGGCGAACGGGUGAGUAACACGUAGGCAACCUACCCUGGAGAUUGGGAUAACCUGCCGAAAGGCGGGCUAAUACCAGAUAAGACCACGAGGGCUGCGGCCCUUGAAGGAAAAAGAUGGCCUCUGCUUGCAUGCUAUCGCUCCGGGAUGGGCCUGCGCGCCAUAGCUAGUUGGUGAGGUAACGGCUCACCAAGGCCGAGAUGGCUAGCUGGUCUGAGAGGAUGGCCAGCCACAC
rnacentral:rRNA from 1 species